rnacentral:rRNA from 1 species
GAUGAACGCUGGCGGCGUGCCUAAUACAUGCAAGUCGAGCGAACAGACGAGGAGCUUGCUCCUCUGACGUUAGCGGCGGACGGGUGAGUAACACGUGGAUAACCUACCUAUAAGACUGGGAUAACUUCGGGAAACCGGAGCUAAUACCGGAUAAUAUAUUGAACCGCAUGGUUCAAUAGUGAAAGACGGUUUUGCUGUCACUUAUAGAUGGAUCCGCGCCGCAUUAGCUAGUUGGUAAGGUAACGGCUUACCAAGGCGACGAUGCGUAGCCGACCUGAGAGGGUGAUCGGCCACACUGGAACUGGGACACGGUCCAGACUCCUACGGGAGGCAGCAGUAGGGAAUCUUCCGCAAUGGGCGAAAGCCUGACGGAGCAACGCCGCGUGAGUGAUGAAGGUCUUCGGAUCGUAAAACUCUGUUAUUAGGGAAGAACAAAUGUGUAAGUAACUAUGCACGUCUUGACGGUACCUAAUCAGAAAGCCACGGCUAACUACAUG